UACGGAGGGGGCUAGCGUUGUUCGGAAUUACUGGGCGUAAAGCGUGCGCAGGCGGUGAUGUAAGACAGAUGUGAAAUCCCCGGGCUCAACCUGGGAACUGCAUUUGUGACUGCAUCGCUGGAGUGCGGCAGAGGGGGAUGGAAUUCCGCGUGUAGCAGUGAAAUGCGUAGAUAUGCGGAGGAACACCGAUGGCGAAGGCAAUCCCCUGGGCCUGCACUGACGCUCAUGCACGAAAGCGUGGGGAGCAAACAGG
rnacentral:rRNA from 1 species